AUGGCAAUUUUAUUUGUUUUUAGUAUCAACGUUGUAAAAUUACUCCACAUUUUUUUCUCUCACAUCACUCAGUAUCUUACCACUGCUAACCAUUUCCAUAUUUCCUGUUUUCUUCCAGGCCUUUUCCAUAUGCUGUCCACAUGGUUGUAUCCCUGGCGUGGAUUGUGCUCCAGUCCCUGACAGAGGGCAGCAACUGGAUUGACAUGGAAAAGCCCUGUUUUCUGAGCCAGGACUUAGGGAGAAAGCAUUGGCCCCACAUGGGGCUAGAAGACCUGCCAGCCGGGACCCUGCGAGCACCAGCGCUGGCAGUGCCUGGACAGUCUCAGGCUCAUCAGCUUGAAUGCUGAGCUCAGAAGCCUGUGAGAAGCUGAGGCCUGUCAGGCUUGGAGGACAAUGGCCAUGUAUACUGCACUGUGGCAAAUCCCUGGGGGAAGGGAGAAGCUGGAGGGUGAGAGGACCCAGCAUCCUUUGGGUCAGCAUGGAUAUUUCAGGUGGAUAUAAUAAAUUAAUAUAGAAAUUUACACCUGGGAGGAUCCUCAGAUCCAGUUUGAACCAGAUACUUUCAAUUACAGAUUCUCAAGGUCUUACUUCAUUCUCCAGAGAGUAAUUUUUUUUUAAUGUGUCUAAAAGUAACAGAUUAAAGAAAAAUCUUUAAACUCAUUAAUGGUCUUUGUUUACUGCCCAAAUGCAUGCAAACUUUCAUAACAUUGGUUUGCUUAGUGGAAGGCUGGUUUUGAGUGAACUGUCUGGCUCAGAUUCAAACUCCAGUGAACAAAUACUUCCAAGUUUACUUGCAAAAUUUCCCAGACAGAGAAGUUCUUCCAUUAGGUUUGCCAGAGGAUUUGAAACAGUGGUGAGCCCUGGAGACAAGGGAACGUUUGCUGGCUCUUGGACAUAACCUUGCACAGUAAGGCUCAUAUCAGGCUGAAGGCAGUGCAGCAUGAACUGACCCGAUUUGAGGGAGUUCGCUCUGGGACUCCUCUGAGCUACUAAAUGAGGAGAUGGACUAAUGAGAAUGUACUGACUCCGCCACAUUGGAAGUUGAUAAUAAACAUUUACAAAACAAACUCAAACUGG